UACGUAGGGGGCUAGCGUUGUCCGGAAUCAUUGGGCGUAAAGCGCGUGUAGGCGGCCCGGUAAGUCCGCUGUGAAAGUCCAGGGCUCAACCCUGGGAUGCCGGUGGAUACUGUCGGGCUCGAGUCCGGAAGAGGCGAGUGGAAUUCCUGGUGUAGCGGUGAAAUGCGCAGAUAUCGGGAAGAACACCCGUGGCGAAGGCGGUUCUCUGGGACGGUACUGACGCUGAGACGCGAAAGCGUGGGGAGCGAACAGG
rnacentral:rRNA from 1 species